rnacentral:rRNA from 1 species
UACGUAGGGGGCGAGCGUUGUCCGGAAUCACUGGGCGUAAAGCGCACGCAGGCGGAUCGUUAAGUCAGGGGUGAAAUGCCGAGGCUCAACCUCGGAACUGCCUUUGAUACUGGCGAUCUUAGAGUCCGGGAGAGGUGAGUGGAACUCCGAGUGUAGAGGUGAAAUUCGUAGAUAUUCGGAAGAACACCAGUGGCGAAGGCGGCUCACUGGCCCGGUACUGACGCUCAGGUGCGAAAGCGUGGGGAGCAAACAGG